GACAGAGGGUGCAAACGUUGUUCGGAAUUACUGGGCGUAAAGCGUGUGUAGGCGGCUAUGUAAGUCGGAUGUGAAAGCCCUGGGCUCAACCCAGGAAGUGCACUCGAUACUGCGUAGCUUGAGUACCGGAGAGGUUGGUGGAAUUCUCGGUGUAGAGGUGAAAUUCGUAGAUAUCGAGAGGAACACCGGUGGCGAAGGCGGCCAACUGGACGAGUACUGACGCUGAGACACGAAGGCGUGGGGAGCAAACAGG
rnacentral:rRNA from 1 species